rnacentral:rRNA from 1 species
CAGUAGCCACGGGAAUACGAAGGGGGCUAGCGUUGUUCGGAUUUACUGGGCGUAAAGCGCACGUAGGCGGAUCGAUCAGUCAGGGGUGAAAUCCUGGAGCUCAACUCCAGAACUGCCUUUGAUACUGUCGAUCUCGAGUCCGGAAGAGGUGAGUGGAACUCCUAGUGUAGAGGUGGAAUUCGUAGAUAUUAGGAAGAACACCAGUGGCGAAGGCGGCUCACUGGUCCGGUACUGACGCUGAGGUGCGAAAGCGUGGGGAGCAAACAGGAUUAGAUACCCGUGUAGUCCCUGUCUCUUAUAC